rnacentral:tRNA from 1 species
GGGCCCGUGGCUUAGCUCGGAUAAAGCACCGGCCCUCUAAGCCGGUGAUCGCGGGUUCAAAUCCCGCCGGGUCCG